AGGAGAUAGAGAAUGAGAAGGAGGGAAGGAGGGAGAAAGUAAAUACAGGAGGCAAGUUGCUCAAGCUGAGUUCCCGGCAGAAAUUCACCUUAAUGAACGGUGCACUUUCCAACAUUGCCGUUAGCGUGAGCUACUCUGUAUUGCUGCCAUUUCUCCGAGAUGUGGCUGUGAAAAAGGGCGUGUCUCUAACAGGAGCAGGGGCAAUCCUAGGGUGUUACGAGGUCGCCUUUUUCUGCUGUUCCCUUACUAUUGGUUCACAGUUAUCUCGCGUAGGAGCGAGGCGCUGUUUCUACACCGGGGCGCUUGUAACA